CAGGCCGCUGCUUACCAUGCAAGUCGCACGGAGGCUUCGGCCUUAGUGGCGGACGGGUGAGUAACGCGUAGGAACGUAUCCACGGGUGGGGGAUAACGCUGGGAAACUGGCGCUAAUACCGCAUGAUGCCUGAGGGCCAAAGCUUUAGCGCCUGUGGAGCGGCCUGCGUACGAUUAGCUAGUUGGUGGGGUAAAGGCCUACCAAGGCUACGAUCGUUAGCUGGUCUGAGAGGACGAUCAGCCACACUGGGACUGAGACACGGCCCAGACUCCUACGGGAGGCAGCAGUGGGGAAUAUUGGACAAUGGGCGCAAGCCUGAUCCAGCAAUGCCGCGUGGGUGAAGAAGGUCUUCGGAUUGUAAAGCCCUUUCGACAGGGACGAUGAUGACGGUACCUGUAGAAGAAGCCCCGGCUAACUUCGUGCCAGCAGCCGCGGUAAUACGAAGGGGGCUAGCGUUACUCGGAAUGACUGGGCGUAAAGGGCGCGUAGGCUGUUUGGUAAGUUGGGCGUGAAAUUCCUGGGCUUAACCUGGGGGCUGCGUCCAAGACUGCCUGACUUGAGGAUGGAAGAGGCUCGUGGAAUUCCCAGUGUAGAGGUGAAAUUCGUAGAUAUUGGGAAGAACACCGGUGGCGAAGGCGGCGAGCUGGUCCAUUACUGACGCUGAGGCGCGAUAGCGUGGGGAGCAAACAGGAUUAGAUACCCUGGUAGUCCACGCCGUAAACGAUGUGUGCUGGAUGUUGGGGUUCCUAGAACUUCAGUGUCGUAGCUAACGCGAUAAGCACACCGCCUGGGGAGUACGGCCGCAAGGUUGAAACUCAAG
rnacentral:rRNA from 1 species